rnacentral:rRNA from 1 species
UGGUUUAUGUUCCAAAUGAUUUAUCGCCGUAGGAUGGGACUGCGGCCUAUCAGUUUGUUGGUGAGGUAAUGGCCCACCAAGACUAUUACAGGUACGGGCUCUGAGAGGAGUGGCCCGGAGAUGGGUACUGAGACACGGACCCAGGCCCUAUGGGGCGCAGCAGGCGAGAAAACUUUGCAAUGUGCGAAAGCACGACAAGGUUAAUCCGAGUGGUUUGUGCUAAACGAACCUUUUGUCAGUCCUAGAAACACUAACGAAUAAGGGGUGGGCAAGUUCUGGUGUCAGCCGCCGCGGUAAAACCAGCACCUCAAGUGGUCAGGAUGAUUAUUGGGCCUAAAGCAUCCGUAGCCGGCUCUGUAAGUUUUCGGUUAAAUCUGUACGCUUAACGUACAGGCUGCCGGGAAUACUGCAGAGCUAGGGAGUGGGAGAGGUAGACGGUACUCGAUAGGAAGGGGUAAAAUCCUUUGAUCUAUUGAUGACCACCUGUGGCGAAGGCGGUCUACCAGAACACGUCCGACGGUGAGGGAUGAAAGCUGGGGGAGCAAACCGGAUUAGAUACCC